rnacentral:lncRNA from 1 species
CCUCAUAUACUGUACAUAUAAUAACUGUUUAAUAAAUAUUGAUUUAAAAUAUUACUAUAAUGCAUUAAACUUAACAAUUUUUUACUUAACAUUAUAAGACAGACACUCAUAGUAAUCAAUCAGCCUACAAUUGACCACAUUGUACAAAGCAAUCAGCCUACAAUUGACCACAUUGUACAAAUCAAUCAGCCUACAAUUGACCACAUUGUACAAAGCAAUCAGCCUACAAUUGACCACAUUGUACAAAGCAAUCAGCCUACAAAUGACCACAUUGUACAAAGCAAUCAGCCUAUAAUUGACCACAUUGUACAAAGCACAGGUAUCUCUAGCCGUUUAUUUAUAGUAAUCAACACCUCUCAAACAUGGCUCCAUUAGGUUUUAUUCCAGAAACAACCAAACAAGUCGGAUUGAGGCUUUAAGAAAAAAGAUGGUUUUAAAGUUUUAUGCGUUACUCCUAUCUGCUUUCCCGACCGCACAAAGACCCUCAUGAUAAGUCAAGGUCGUCAAAAACCACACUCAUCAUGGCUGCAUUGAUUAAAAAAAAAUACAGAAAGGUAUGUACUGCGCAGAAACUUUUUACUUUUAUUAUCCUUGCUCAAUACUUUCAUUUUAGUCUACCUACUCUAAAUUUUAAAAUAUUGGCAAAUAUUAAUUUAAAAAAUAACAAUCAGCUAUUUAGGGGCAUAAACUUCAUUUUAGACAGGUAGAUUUUUUCUAAAUGCUUAGAAGAUUUCAUUUUCUACAUAUUUACAUUACAUCAAAAUGCCAAUUUUAGCACCACUUGAAAUCAUUAUUUUUAUCAACCACAAAAGCAUGGGUGUCCUAUAUUUUUUUGUUCCAUUCACGGAGUAGCUUAGUGAGGUCAUUAGUACGAUGACUAUUAAAGUGGAGUAAAUAAUUAUGAUGUUACAUAUAUUUUGAAAGAAAAUUAGGAUCUUGAUCGAAUGAUGAUCUGACUUCAGGAAACUCCCUACGAUCACACUUUGUUAGAGAAACUGAGGUGAAAAGCACUACUUUAAGCAGAGACAUAGAUUAUAUUAGACUUUGAAACUAUAAAUGAUAACUUGAAAACAAAAUCAGUUCAAAGAGUUCGAGAGGUAUAUCUUCACUUAAAACCACAAUCUUUCUUCUACAGAAUGAUCAAUCCUACUUAAAUAUGCAAUUCAUUAUAGUAUUUUACCUUAACCUUCAGUAUUUUCAUUUGCAUUGGUCCAUAUAACUUUAUGAACUGUUAAUGGGGUUAUUUGUGUGUGGGCGUAGUUUCGCUUGUUAUAUAAUAGCUCGAGGGAGGAGAAAUUAGUAUUUAAAGAGCUGUAAAUGAAAAAAAUAAAUUCAGUUUCAAUACUUUUUAAUACAUUUCCUGGGUAGCUAGGCAUGGCGUGCAUAUUAAAAUUAAUAAAACAUGAUUUAUAAUCUUUAAAUACUAUAUGUAUACAGAAAUGAGGUACACCAUGUUAAUCCCGACUACAAAACAAUUCUAUUAUACAAACAAAAUAAAUGAGAACCAGGUGCUUCGCAGGGCGCAGCUUUAUACGACCGCAGAGGUCGAACCCCGAACAGUUGGGGCAAGUAUGGAAACACCAUUCAAGCUUGAUACAGCUCUGAAUUUGGAUUGUGAUAACAUUUUUGACAUACUAAAGUUUCUGACACAAAACAAAUGACAAGAUCUUACAAACCUAUUGCGCAAUAUUGUGCAAUUAAAGAUUUCUUCUUCAAACUUUUCAAAAAUUUGGAAUUUGAGAAAUUUGGGAAAAAAAAAUUUGAAAUCUACUACCACCCCCUUUAUUUGCCAAAACCUGAUAUUUCUUUAUAAAUAAUUUACAAGAAGUGUAAGGGAGAUAAAUCCGAAACAUACUCAACAUUGUAUGUUAAACGUUUUUGAGUUACCUCCCUUACACUGCUUUUAAAUUGUCUUAAUUGUCCACUGACAAGAAAAACCGAGUUUCCCCCUUUUUUGCCCCUAAUUCCAAAAUAAUUUGAGUCAUACUCCUCCUCCUAAGUCAAUACUAAACAUCCCUUCAUGGUUUGGAAACUUGUGGUAUAAAUUCAGAGAGAUCAUACACUUAUACACAAGUUAUAAUAAUUAUUUGAAAACUACAAAAAUGCUUAUUUUUGGCCCCUUAUUCCUGAACUUUUGGGACCAUAAAUCCCAAAAUCAAUCCCAAUCUUCCUUUUGUGGUAUUGAACCUUCUGGAAAACAUUUAUAAAUAUCCAUUCACUAAAACUAAAGUUAUUGUCUGGAAACAAGAUGUGUCUACGGACGACGACGACGCAGACAUGAUAGCAUUAUACAACGCAAAAAAAAUUUUGCGGUCUUUAAAAAAAAAUAGAGGCUCUCGAGAGCCUGUGUCGCUCACCUUGGUCUAUGUGCAUAUUAAACAAUGGACACAGAUAAAUUCAUGACAAAAUUUGUUGGUAUGGUGAUGUGUUUGUAAAUCUUACUUUACUGAACAUUCUUGUUGCUACAAUUACUCUUAUCUAUAAUGAACUUGACCCGGUAAUUACAGUGGAAAAUAUUUUGUAAAAAUUUACAAUUUACAAAAAAUUAUGUAAAUUAUAAAAAAAUUGACUAUAAAGGGCAAUAACUCCUUAAGGGGUCAAUUGACAAUUUUGGUCAUUUCGACUUAUUUGUAGAUCUUAUUUUGCUGAACAUUAUUGCUGUUUACAGUUUAUCUCUAUCUAUAAUAAUAUUCAAGAUAAUAACCCAAAACGGCAAAAUUUCCUUAAAAAUUACCAAUUCAGGGGCAGCAACCCAACGACCGGUUGUCCAAUUCAUCUGAAAAUUCUAAGGCAGAUCGAUCUUGUCUUGAUGAACAAUUUAACCUCACGUCAGAUUUGCUCUAAAUGCUUCGGUUUCAGAGUUAUAAGCCAAAAUCUACAUUUUACCCCUAUGUUCUAUUUUUUGCCAUGGGGUCCAUAUUGGUUGGUUGGCCGGGUCACCGGACACAUUUUUAAAACUAGAUACCCCAAUGAUGAUUGUAGCUACAUUUGGUAAAAUUUGGACCAGUAGU